CCUCACUUCUCACAGCCGCCUGAGACUGUCCCUGCUCUAGAGGGGGCUGGACCAGGGGGGAUGCCCACCACUGCCCAGGCCACGCACGUAUUGGCCUGCCCACAGGGCUGUGGAGAGGGGUCACACCCGCUGAGCAACAUGCCCUCGGAGGGGGGCCUGGUGGCUUCUAAGUGUGGGGGGAGUGUUGGCUCUGCCCUGGCCCCUCACACCCACGGGAUGCACCUGCCUUACCCUCUUGCCUGCGCACGAGAGAUGGAGGAAUGACCACGCUCACGCCUAUGCCAAUGCCCGGAAUACAGCAGGGACUCAAUAAAUGCACAGCCAGACGAGGGGAACUCCUGGCUAUAGUGUUUCCCAGGUUUUCUCUACACUCAGCGAGGAGCAGGACUCACUGGGACGCUCCCCGAUCUCCCCCACUUCAGAGCAAAGAGAGCCCAGGAAACCCACCAUCGGGGAGGACCUUGUACAUGCCUUCUGGGGGCUUCUGAACGGCCAACUGUUCCUGAGCCCUGACCAGCUCCAGGAGCCGUGCUCUUCACGGGCCUGCUCAGCAGCCCCCAUUAGUGGUGGGUAAUAACGACCGCCGAUGACCGAACGACGCGCUGCAGCUUUCAAGCCUGAAGACACGCCAAAUUGCCAUUUGCUUUCAUUACUGCGAGCUCAAAAUAUUCCAGUGCCAGCUUGCUGUGUGACCCAUGUCUCCCGAGGGCCACCGAAUGGUUUCCAUGAUAGAAUUCCCUCUCGCAGAGGCGCCGAGUCCACUCUGAGUCACCCUUGAACACACGUGUGUGCACACACGCACACACCUGGCUCCUGACCCAAGCUGCCCAGACACCCGUCGGACCCCAUGGAGAAGCUCACGCUGUGGGCCCUGCGCGGACAGGGGGAGUGAGCACGCGGGGAUGACUCCACCGCGGGACUGGUCUGAUGGUUUCCCUCCCCCAUGCCUCCGUGGCCUGGGUUUGACCCUGAGCUCUCUACUGGGGCUUCGAGGCCCCCAGCACCGGCCUGAAGGGCUCCCCAGAGAGGCUGUCCCCUGCCCAGCACAGCCACGUCAGCCCUGGAGAGGUGGUCCCUCCCAACCUCACAGUGUGCAGGAAGCCUCCCCCAGACUAUAAGUCCUGUGAGGGCAGGGGUGUGUCUGUCUUUGUCACCACUGGACACCCAAUGCCUGACUCUGAGCCUGAGCUCUCUGAGGCCGGGGAGAGCAGGGACAGAGUCUUGACUCAGGAGCCUGACUCACAGGGGAUGGGGGACAGCCUGCCACCCACCAAUUGAUCCCCUGCCUGGCUUCCUUACACACUGACACACCACAUUCCCACACACGUCGUGGCAUACCCCCUGCAAAGAACCCACUGGCCAUCUGGCAGUUCCCUCUACCAGCCAUGCCCACAAGUUCCUCCAGAACUCUCCUGGGCCCUCUGCUUCCCACCCCUCCCCAGGAAUUGAUCUAAUUUCCCAGAGAAUACUGUGACUCGCCCAAGAUCACACACGAGGGGCUGCAGAGUUUUGGAACCCAAGGAGGGCGGCGCAGGGAGAGGGCAGGUAGUGAAUCCAGCUGCUCCCACAGGCAUCCGAGCAUUCAUUCAGUCAGCCAGGCAUCUGUUUGUUUGUUUUCCCAACAAACAUUUAUUACGCCCCAGGCAGGCGGCUCGGUGCUGGGGACCCAGCCAUGAACAAGGCCAGCCGAGAGCCAGAGCGCGGGCCAGAGAGGCAGACAGAUGCUAAACAAGUAAUUACGAGCAUGAUGGAUGCCACAAAGGAAACGCAGAGAGCCCUGGGAGGGCACGGGAGGGGCAUACCGCUUCUCACAUUUGCACAAGGCUUGACAGCAGUCUUGCCCUGAAGUGGUCUUGCGGCACCUUCAUCAGAAGCCCCUGAGAAACCUGUUUUACCCACCCCCACCCCCUGCAGACUCAGCACCCCUGGGGAGGGGUGUUUCCUCCUGACCUGCUGCCCAGAGGCUACUCUGAGGUUCUGGGACCACAGCUUUGGAGGUCUGGAGGGAAGCGGAGAGUGCAAAUGCUUUUCUAAUCACCCUCCCUGUCCUUGAGCUUCUUGCCAGGCCUCUGAGGUGGGUUGAAUAAACCAGUUUACAAAUAAGGAAACCAGGGCCUUGAAAAGCCCAGUGACUAGUGAAUGCAGAGCAAAAAUUCAAACCCAGGCCUGGCAGACUCCAGAUUUUCAGGAAGGGUCCUUAGAGGUGGCCCAGCUCCUGGGUGCUGGAUGUGAAGCCUCUUGAAGUGUGUUUAUAGUAAAAAGGGAAAACAAGGGACUAGUUCCUGGGAAGCCAAUGUUACUACUGACAAGGUGCC
rnacentral:lncRNA from 1 species